GACGAACGCUGGCGGCGUGCUUAACACAUGCAAGUCGAACGGAAAGGCCCUGCUUUUGUGGGGUGCUCGAGUGGCGAACGGGUGAGUAACCCGUGAGUAACCUGCCCUUUACUUUGGGAUAACUUCAGGAAACUGGGGCUAAUACCGGAUAGGAGCUCCUGCUGCAUGGUGGGGGUUGGAAAGUUUCGGCGGGUGGGGAUGGGCUCGCGGCUUAUCAGCUUGUUGGUGGGGUAGUGGCUUACCAAGGCUUUGACGGGUAGCCGGCCUGAGAGGGUGACCGGACACAUUGGGACUGAGAUACGACCCAGACUCGUACGGGAGGCAGCAGUGGAGAAUAUUGCACAGUGGGCGGAAGCCUGAUGCAGCAACGCCGCGUGCGGGAUGACGGCCUUCGGGUUGUAAACCGCUUUCGCCUGUGACGAAGCGUGAGUGACGGUAAUGGGUAAAGAAGCACCGGCUAACUACGUG
rnacentral:rRNA from 1 species